rnacentral:misc_RNA from 1 species
UUUUCCUAUGGAACACAUGACAGACCGCGACAGCAGAGUAAGAAAUUGUGGUGUACCGCUUUGUGCCUUCCUCGGCAACAAGAGGGAAAUGGUUGCCCACCNCGAAGAAGACGUGAAUCACAAAGCCUUAUUAACAAAGGCACAUCGUCAAUUGGUGAACGACGUUAAAAACAAGAAGAAGCCUCUAAAGAGUACGCAAAAGAGGUCGUUUGCGUGUGGUCGAAAUAUUGGAAGACAGAGAAUUUCCAAUCCCACGCCAGACGCGCCAGCUCCCGGGGAAUCCCGCUAACGAGCGGGAACUUUAGGAAAAAUGGCCAUGUCUGGAGGUUGGUCUUCUUUACAGAUGAACUUGAGAUAUNCCUCCAGCUUGUGUCUUCGCAAGAAGAACCUCAACACAUAAAAGCAACGAUCGCAGUUGAAGAUUGUGGUUAUUCUUUCCCAUCAGUGAUUUUGUACGAGCAUCAGAUGGUUGGCGGGAAACUCAAUGAUUCUACAAAGUGUCUCGAGGUGGAGGUUAAAGUCGUAGUCACUAGCUACGAAUACCGGAAGCAGAAGACCGAUGUCUGCAAACCGGCCCAACUUGAAGAACCCAUCUAAAAAUGGCCAUAUAAGGUAAGGUAAAUAUCAGAGUACUACGCGAUAGUGUUAAGAGAUAGCAACACUUUUUGUGUGCAUUAUUCACAGAACCGACAAAGUACUCGCUGCAAUAGAGAUGACCUCUGUAAUAACUAUCCAAAUGCCUGUGAUAC